UUGGAGGGUAUCAGUAUUAGGUUUCUUUUGAUGAAGUGAUUAAUUGUAUCAGAGGAAGGCACAGGCAAUGCUGAAGCAGAUAAGCAAGUGAAGGCCUGCAGUUGUACAGGUUACAGUAGAUUCACAGUAGGUGUGUAUAAAAACAGACACAGAGCCUAAUGGACAAAGCAAGACUAUGUAGAGUUAUUGCUAGGACAAAAAUAUACAGUAAAACCAGCAACAACAAAACCUAAAAGGACCUGGAGACCACGUGGAUUAUGACCAACUAGAUUUUCAGACAAGCUUCUGAUUUCUCUGUCUUUAAAUCAUUUGCAAACUGCUAUCUAUAAGCAGUUCUGUGUAGGUGUUGAAUGUUAAUGUGUUUUUAUAUAAUCCAAGUCCAAAACAAAAAUCAGCCAAAUAGCAACAAAAUAAACAUUCUUCAUAGUAGGCCUCUAAGACAGGAAAACUUAGGCUUGCAAGAACUGCUACCAAAAGCAGAGUCUAUGGCUCAGAACUCCCCUUGUCAGGGGGCAAGACCCUACAGUGGCGAGAAAUCCUGACAUCAGACCUAAGGAAGAGUAGCUCAUCAUGUCUGUAUCUUACCAGCUAGUCAAAAUACUAAGGCAGCCUUUUGUCCAAGGACAGUGCCUUUCUGGCACCAGCAUGGUCUGACUGUGCACCACUGCUGCUGCACAAAAUUUGAACCAUGACUGCAAGACCUUUGCCACACUCGGCACUGCUGAAUCUAGGAGAACAUAGCAGGAACAUACCAAAGAUGUCAAUGCCAGAUGCAAGUUGAGCUGUGGGGGCUUUAGCUAAACUCUUAGGCAAUGCUGGGCUUCUUUAACAACUAGCGAUCUAGGCAGAAGUGGGAAAUAAUGUAGAGGUGUAAGCAUAUAUGCAAAGACAGAGUAAAUGGUAUUACAUUUGUGGUGCAUUCUGCUUAUUCAAGACAAGACCUAAUAAAUGAGGAAUUAGAAGAAGCAAGGGGAAGAUUAAAACAUUAGAGAUAGGGAAGUCAUUCUUGCAAAAGUUAGCACACUUGCACCUGGGCAUUUGGCAAUGAUUUAUGGUUUAAUUGUAUUCAAACUUGUCAAACAAGUUUAUUAGAAAACAUAACAGUACCUCAUAUCUUAUAAUUAGACAUUUGCAGUCAGAGUGGGCUUUUAGGAAAGGAUUGAAAUCACACAGAAGACCAGACUUCCUCUUUCCAGAAGAACAUGGACACCACUGAAAAACUGUGCAUUUAAAAAGGACAAAGUGAAGAACACAUGAAAGUUUCUUUUGGUUAACAGGUCAAAUGGACAGUGAAGAUCGAUGUCACAACUGAGAUUCCCAACAGAAUGCUGUAGUGGGCGUGUGUGAAGAUGAAGAUCUGAAAGUUUCAGAAAUAUGAACAGAAGAAGAGAGCUGAAUGUUGAUGACGGUACAGCUGAAUUUACUCUAAAUAGUAUCAAGAGAAAAAUUACUGCCAGUUUUUCUUCCAAGUGUUCUGUCUUAUUCAGCAGAGUGAUGGCAAUAAUUUUAGGGUAUUAAACAAGAUG